AUAUUAGUUUUUUAGCUCCGAAUUCAAUCUGAUUCCAAUUUAAAUGAUCCUAAAAUUUAAAUUAUAUUUCUAAUUGUAAGAACGGAUCACAUUCAUCAUUUAUGAUUUAAUUUAGAGUUUUGAUAUUUUCUGAGGUCCGAUAUUCUAAUUGUACGUUCAUUAGGGACCAACAUCGCUCAGAGUUCCACACCCCGGGUUUGCGCAUCUUCUCACGGACAAUAUUGUCGACACUCUGAAAAUAGUCAGAGGAUGCAGGAUUAACUAUAUUUAAAUAAGCUGGUCGCAUUAACACUUACCUAGUCUUAAAAAAACAGAUCCUUAGCCAAGCCCAUACAACUUGCUACUUCCAGUGGUUGAAUGAUUAAAAGGUCUACAUGUUAUCGGCACACUAUGGCUAACAAUAAUCAAAUGCGCCUAUUAAUCAAUUCAAUUAUGCCACAAUAAAGGUAAUGAAGACUCCUCUAAUCUACUGGAUACAAUGAAAUCGCAAAACUCCAGAAUUAAUCAAAACUUAACAUUUUAUUUGUCAGGUAAAAUUGUAUUCUGCCAAUUACAUAAUAAAUCAUCAGGAAGCCAAUUCAGAGAUGAGACUGUAACAAAACAACAUCCAUUAAUCAAAGAUAAAUCAAAGAGUUAAGAGAUGCAUACCUGACCAGAGAAAUACAUUGCAACAUAAGUUCUCAGAGAUGCUGCAAUGGGGUGUCUUUUUACAAGAUCUCCCCCC
rnacentral:lncRNA from 1 species